rnacentral:rRNA from 1 species
ACUACGGGUGGCAGCAGUGGGGAAUAUUGGGCCAUGGGCGCAAGCCUGACCCAGCAACGCCGCGUGAAGGAAGAAGGCUUUCGGGUUGUAAACUUCUUUUCUCAGGGACGAAGCAAGUGACGGUACCUGAGGAAUAAGCCACGGCUAACUACGUGCCAAAAGCCUCGGUAAUACGUAGGUGGCAAGCGUUAUCCGGAUUUACUGGGGGUAAAGGGCGUGUAGGCGGGACUGCAAGUCAGAUGGGAAAACCACGGGCUCAACCUGUGGGCUGCAUUUGAAACUGUAGUUCUUUAGUACUGGAGAGGCAGACGGAAUUCCUAGUGUAGCGGUGAAAUGCGUAGAUAUUAGGAGGAACACCAGUGGCGAAGGCGGUCUGCUGGACAGCAACUGACGCUGAGGCGCGAAAGCGUGGGGAGCAAACAGGAUUAGAUACCCGAGUAGUC